GGCAGCCUUGAACAUACCAGGAAGCAAUAGGAAAAAACUGGAGAAAGUGAAAAGGCUGCGAUGAAGGAAAAGAGGAGACAAACAAGGGUGACAUUGGCUGGGCAGCAAAGAUGACCAAAAGGCCAAGAAGCCUGUGCUGUUCCAGUAUUGAUCCGGUGCUCCUCCGUCACCAUCCGACCACAGAACCUCAGGCUGAUAGUUGUUCACUAACUCAUAGAGCUCUGGCAAUGUCUUAGAAACUGGAAAUUGCCGCUUAUGGAAUGAACUGGAUUCAUCCUCAAGGAAGAGCGGAUGAAACCAUUCAAAAAGGGAAUAGUACAGUCCAAAACGCAGCUUGGGAAAGUUCCUAGACAUCAGGAAAUCAGCAUGUUCUCAAGCAAAUACACUUGAUAGACAUUCAUCUCAGCAGGAUAAAUAUCUACAGGAGAAAAUCAUGAAGCUACCAGAAUGUGGCCAAAGGGAAAAAUAUCCUAUGAUCAUUCCAGAUUUUUUGUGUUGGUUCUCCUCUCCUAUUCCCAUCCCAUCCCUGGAGAAAACAAUAAGGCAAAGUUUCCCGUUUUUUUUUUUUUUUUUUUUUGAGACAGGAUCUCCCUCCGCCACCUAGACUGGAGUGUAGUAAGCCUAUCUCCGCUCACUGCAGCCUCAAGCAGUCCUCCAACCUAAGCCUCCCAAGUAGCUGGGACUACAGAGACAUACCACUAC
ensembl:lncRNA novel transcript